GAAUGCUGACAUAAGUAACGAUAAAGCGGGUGAAAAGCCCGCUCGCCGGAAGACCAAGGGUUCCUGUCCAACGUUAAUCGGGGCAGGGUGAGUCGACCCCUAAGGCGAGGCCGAAAGGCGUAGUCGAUGGGAAACGGGUUAAUAUUCCCGUACUUGGUGUUACUGCGAAGGGGGGACGGAGAAGGCUAUGUUGGCCGGGCGACGGUUGUCCCGGUUUAAGCGUGUAGGUGUGUGUUCCAGGUAAAUCCGGUUCACUUUAACACUGAGGCGUGACGACGAGGCACUACGGUGCUGAAGCAACAAAUGCCCUGCUUCCAGGAAAAGCCUCUAAGCAUCAGGUAACAUCAAAUCGUACCCCAAACCGACACAGGUGGUCAGGUAGAGAAUACCAAGGCGCUUGAGAGAACUCGGGUGAAGGAACUAGGCAAAAUGGUGCCGUAACUUCGGGAGAAGGCACGCUGACACGUAGGUGAAGUGAUUUACUCAUGGAGCUGAAGUCAGUCGAAGAUACCAGCUGGCUGCAACUGUUUAUUAAAAACACAGCACUGUGCAAACACGAAAGUGGACGUAUACGGUGUGACGCCUGCCCGGUGCCGGAAGGUUAAUUGAUGGGGUCAGCGCAAGCGAAGCUCCUGAUCGAAGCCCCGGUAAACGGCGGCCGUAACUAUAACGGUCCUAAGGUAGCGAAAUUCCUUGUCGGGUAAGUUCCGACCUGCACGAAUGGCGUAAUGAUGGCCAGGCUGUCUCCACCCGAGACUCAGUGAAAUUGAACUCGCUGUGAAGAUGCAGUGUACCCGCGGCAAGACGGAAAGACCCCGUGAACCUUUACUAUAGCUUGACACUGAACAUUGAGCCUUGAUGUGUAGGAUAGGUGGGAGGCUUUGAAGUGUGGACGCCAGUCUGCAUGGAGCCGACCUUGAAAUACCACCCUUUAAUGUUUGAUGUUCUAACGUGGACCCGUUACCCGGGUUGCGGACAGUGUCUGGUGGGUAGUUUGACUGGGGCGGUCUCCUCCUAAAGAGUAACGGAGGAGCACGAAGGUUGGCUAAUCCUGGUCGGACAUCAGGAGGU
rnacentral:rRNA from 2 species